UACGAAGGGGGCUAGCGUUGCUCGGAGUCACUGGGCGUAAAGCGCACGUAGGCGGACUCUUAAGUCGGUGGUGAAAUCCUGGAGCUCAACUCCAGAACUGCCUUCGAUACUGGGAGUCUCGAGUUCGGGAGAGGUGAGUGGAACUGCGAGUGUAGAGGUGAAAUUCGUAGAUAUUCGCAAGAACACCAGUGGCGAAGGCGGCUCACUGGCCCGAUACUGACGCUGAGGUGCGAAAGCGUGGGGAGCAAACAGG
rnacentral:rRNA from 1 species